GACGAACGCUGGCGGCGUGCUUAACACAUGCAAGUCGAACGGAAAGGCCCUGCUUUUGUGGGGUGCUCGAGUGCCGAACGGGUGAGUAACACGUGAGUAACCUGCCCUUGACUUUGGGAUAACUUCAGGAAACUGGGGCUAAUACCGGAUAGGAGCUCCUGCUGCAUGGUGGGGGUUGGAAAGUUUCGGCGGUUGGGGAUGGACUCGCGGCUUAUCCGCUUGUUGGUGGGGUAGUGGCUUACCAAGGCUUUGACGGGUAGCCGGCCUGAGAGGGUGACCGGCCACAUGGGGACUGAGAUACGGCCCAGACUCCUACGGGAGGCAGCAGUGGGGAAUAUUGCACAAUGGGCGGAAGCGUGAGGCAGCAACGCCGCGUGCGGGAUGACGGCCUUCGGGUUGUAAACCGCUUUCGCCUGUGACGAAGCGUGAGUGACGGUAAUGGGUAAAGAAGCACCGGCUAACUACGUG
rnacentral:rRNA from 1 species